rnacentral:rRNA from 1 species
AACAGGAUUAGAUACCCUGGUAGUCCACGCCGUAAACGAUGUCGACUUGGAGGUUGUGCCCUUGAGGCGUGGCUUCCGGAGCUAACGCGUUAAGUCGACCGCCUGGGGAGUACGGCCGCAAGGUUAAAACUCAAAUGAAUUGACGGGGGCCCGCACAAGCGGUGGAGCAUGUGGUUUAAUUCGAUGCAACGCGAAGAACCUUACCUACUCUUGACAUCCAGAGAACUUUCCAGAGAUGGAUUGGUGCCUUCGGGAACUCUGAGACAGGUGCUGCAUGGCUGUCGUCAGCUCGUGUUGUGAAAUGUUGGGUUAAGUCCCGCAACGAGCGCAACCCUUAUCCUUUGUUGCCAGCGGUUCGGCCGGGAACUCAAAGGGGACUGCCAGUGAUAAACUGGAGGAAGGUGGGGAUGACGUCAAGUCAUCAUGGCCCUUACGAGUAGGGCUACACACGUGCUACAAUGGCGCAUACAAAGAGAAGCGACCUCGCGAGAGCAAGCGGACCUCAUAAAGUGCGUCGUAGUCCGGAUUGGAGUCUGCAACUCGACUCCAUGAAGUCGGAAUCGCUAGUAAUCGUAGAUCAGAAUGCUACGGUGAAUACGUUCCCGGGCCUUGUACACACCGCCCGUCACACCAUGGGAGUGGGUUGCAAAAGAAGUAGGUAGCUUAACCUUCGGGAGGGCGCUUACCACUUUGUGAUUCAUGACUGGGGUGAAGUCGUAACAAGGUAACC